GACGAACGCUGGCGGCGUGCUUAACACAUGCAAGUCGAACGGAAAGGUCCUGCUUUUGUGGGGUGCUCGAGGGGCGAACGGGUGAGCAACACGUGAGUAACCUGUCCCUGACCUUGGGAUAACUUCAGGAAACUGGGGCUAAUACCGGAUAGGAGCUCUCGCUGCAUGGUGGGGGUUGGAAAGUUUCGGCGGUUGGGGAUGGACUAGCGGCCUAUCAGCUUGUUGGUGGGGUAGUGGCUUACCAAGGCUUUGACAGGUAGCCUGCCUGGGAGGGUGACCGGCCACGUUACGCCGGGAAUGCGACCCAGCCUCGUCCGGGACGCGACAGUGGAGUGUGGUACACUGUGGGCUGAACGCUGAUGCAGCAACGCAGCGUGCGGGAUGUCAGCCUUCGGGUUGUGAUGCACUUUCGCCUGUGACGAGGCGAGAAUGACAGUACUGGGUGAAGAAGCACCGGCUAACUACGUG
rnacentral:rRNA from 1 species